UACGUAGGGUCCGAGCGUUGUCCGGAAUUACUGGGCGUAAAGAGCUCGUAGGUGGUUUGUCGCGUUGUUCGUGAAAACUCACAGCUCAACUGUGGGCGUGCGGGCGAUACGGGGCAGACUAGAGUACUGCAGGGGAGACUGGAAUUCCUGGUGUAGCGGUGGAAUGCGCAGAUAUCAGGAGGAACACCGGUGGCGAAGGCGGGUCUCUGGGGCAGUAACUGACGCUGAGGAGCGAAAGCGUGGGGAGCGAACAGG
rnacentral:rRNA from 1 species